GAUGAACGCUGGCGGCGUGCCUAAUACAUGCAAGUCGAGCGAACAGAUGAGGAGCUUGCUCCUCUGACGUUAGCGGCGGACGGGUGAGUAACACGUGGAUAACCUACCUAUAAGACUGGGAUAACUUCGGGAAACCGGAGCUAAUACCGGAUAAUAUAUUGAACCGCAUGGUUCAAUAGUGAAAGACGGUUUUGCUGUCACUUAUAGAUGGAUCCGCGCCGCAUUAGCUAGUUGGUAAGGUAACGGCUUACCAAGGCAACGAUGCGUAGCCGACCUGAGAGGGUGAUCGGCCACACUGGAACUGAGACACGGUCCAGACUCCUACGGGAGGCAGCAGUAGGGAAUCUUCCGCAAUGGGCGAAAGCUUGACGGAGCAACGCCGCGUGAGUGAUGAAGGUCUUCGGAUCGUGAAACUCUGUUAUUAGGGAAGAACAAAUGUGUAAGUAACUAUGCACGUCUUGACGGUACCUAAUCAGAAAGCCACGGCUAACUACGUG
rnacentral:rRNA from 1 species